rnacentral:lncRNA from 1 species
AAUGGAUCUAAGGGAUAUGUUAAAUUUGAGAUGGCAAGGUUCUAUUGGCUAAGUGUAUGAAGAGAGGGUUGAAGACCAUUCGAUAAGAGUAUCCUCGUUUAGUUGUGUCUUUUUGGAAUGCUAGAAUUCAAGGAAGGAGUAGGAAUAAGGAAAAAACUUUGAUCUAUAGGUGAGAAAGAGAGCUAGAUGAAGGAAUUUGAUUGGACCUUCCCCUCCUCACA